AUACGGAGGAUCCAAGCGUUAUCCGGAUUUAUUGGGUUUAAAGGGUGCGCAGGCGGGAGAUUAAGUCGGCGGUGAAAUUUUGCAGCUCAACUGUAAAAGUGCCUUCGAUACUGGUUUCCUUGAGUGUGGAUGAAGUAGGCGGAAUUUGUGGUGUAGCGGUGAAAUGCUUAGAUAUCACGAGGAACUCCGAUUGCGCAGGCAGCUUACUAAACCACUACUGACGCUCAGGCACGAAGGCGUGGGGAUCAAACAGGAUUAGAUACCCUGGUAGUCCACGCAGUAAACGAUGAUUACUGGCUGUUUGCGAUACAAUGUAAGCGGCUGAGCGAAAGCGUUAAGUAAUCCACCUGGGGAGUACGUUCGCAAGAAUGAAACUCAAAUGAAUUGACGGGG
rnacentral:rRNA from 1 species